UUCAACUAUUUUUCUUAUAUAAUUAUUUUGGUUAAUAUACUCAAAUAGUAAUACAUAAUAGUCUACAUCUUUAUCUUGAUUUUGACUUUAAUAAGAUGGUCCUACUUCUUUAUCAUUAAACAUGAUAAAGACUUGUAGACUGAGAAAGAUGUUUUAUCAUGCUAUAGAAAGUAUGGUUCUUUAUAUUAAACCAAUAAUAUUUAAGUCACUAAUAAUAUUGAAUUGUAUUAAACAUCCAUCGUAUCAACACUAUAAACAUGAAAAGGAAUUCGCAUGUAAUAUUUUUCUUAAACUGAUUUAUUAUAUACAUUAUAAUAUUUCAAUAUUAAAAAUCUUUGUAGAGUUGAAGGAACAUCCCAAAUGUUUAUGAUGUAUUUCAUAUCCUAUGAUGGAUGAUUUGUUCUACUUUUGUUUUCCAAUGGUGAUUUAGAUGACAUGAAUCAUUUCUAUGUCUGAGUAUUUGAAAACUAAAGAAACUUAUUGAACUAUUUUAUUAGUUCAGUUUCUCUGUAUUAAGAUUUAGUUUUUGAAUAAUCUGGGAUCAAAUUUGCAAAGGGAAUUUUAAAAACCUCAAACAAUGGAAUAUUAUAAGGUAGAGAGUCUAAACCAAUUUGACUAGCUAUUUCGGCUAAAUGAAAAAUAAUUGCCCUAUUGUUGGAUUCAAAUGAAGUAAUAUAGUCAUCAAAUUAUUGGGAAUUAAAUUUUAUGUGCUAAUAUUUUAUUUUAUAAAUUUUUAAACAUAUUUUAAUGAGAAUGAUUUUAGUGUAUUUUUUAUUAUAUUUAAUAUUGAUAUCAUAUAAGAAUUACUUCUUAUCAAGAAUUUGUAAGGUUUAUCUUUUAGUGCCCUCAAACAGUUUUAAUGCCAUUCCAGUUAGCUAUUAUUUGAAAAGCUUGGUAAAUUAUCUGUUAGACUCAUCUGGCAGAAUUUGUCUGUUCUUUAUGGAAAAAGAGAAAAUUACGUGCAAUCUCUUGUUUUCUAAGAUAAUUGACCUGUUUAUACAUAUCUAUCUAAUUUGGAAUUAAGUCUAGUACAUGGUGAUUUCCAAUACCUGUUUAAAGUUUUUUAUCUUCAUUUUUUUCCUCUCAUUCCGAGUUUAUUAUUUCAGGAUCCUUGUCAGUUGCAGCAGGAAUUAGAACUACAAAAGGUCUGGAAUCAUCUGAAGAAUUCAAGCUGGAGAAUAAUAGGAUCAUAUUUGUGUUCGGGCAAGAGAUUAGAGUUGAAACCACUAUAAGGAGACAACAUAGAAGACUAUUGAAAUAAUCAAGCUAAAGAUAGAUGGCAGUAAGAAAUGGUGGGUGUAAAGUGAUUCAUGGAGAUAUAUCUGAGUGGCUGUCAGAUUGCUUAAUUAAUUUUCAUUUCUUUCUAGGUCAGAGGUAGUCUAGGAACGAGUAUCAUCAGCUCAGUCUUGGCUAUCUCAGGGAUCAUAAUCAAUGCAAUAAGCUUGACGUCUUAUCUAUUCCAUUACCACUUCUGUGGCUACAAUCAGUUGUCAAAUAAUUGUUACAUGACUGUCCAUUUUAAUGGUGAGUGCUUCAUCUUUUCAUGAGAUACUAUUAUAGAAGCAAGUUUGGGGGAGUGCUAGCUCUGGCAAUGACAAUAAUUAACAUUCCCUAAUUGCUGACUGACUUUGGAAGUUGGAAAUGAUUGAGAAAUAGAAUACUAAUCUUUUAUUUAGGAGUUAGGUACACAUCUCAUCUCUGUCUUUAUUCUUCCUCUAUAUGUGGUGAGACAAAAUGGGAGGAAAGCUUAUGGUUAUUGAACACCUAGUCCUUAAUAGUUACUGUGUUGGGUAUUUUGCAUAAACUUUUCUGUUUAAUUUUAAAACAUUGAUGUAAUGUAUACUGUUAUCUUCUAUAAAAAUGGGACCCAGAUGUCGGUCCCGAUUCUCUAAUAAUAAAGUAAAAUUGUCUUGAACAGCAUGUUACAAGUGGUGAGUAACUCAGUAUCCUUUCCGACAUCUUUGGAUGUUCUUGCAAGAUUAACCACUUCCUCAACAUGUGGCACCCGAAAAAUUCCCAAUCUCCAUUCUAAAUUUUACUACCUUUUUUGUACCAGUUGUGCUUAUUUCAAUGCCAUCUUAAUUGCUUUAUUCAGAAAAUUGUCACUUAUACAAUAUUUUGUAGAUAAUAAAAUUUCUUGAUUUUUUUUUUUUUUGGCCAUUGGGUAAGUGUAAGGAGGAAGAGUUUUUGCAGCACAUCACAGCAGACUAAAAUGCACAAUUAAAUCUUUAUUAUUAAAAGGCCUAUUGGCCGGGCACAGUGGCUCAUGCGUGUGAUCCCAGCACUUUGGUAGACAGAGGCAGGUGGAUCACCUG